ensembl:lncRNA
CUGGCAGGGUUGGUGGGUGCUCAGCCGCUUUUACCUCACACUUAAGCAUCCAAGGCCUCACCAAUCUGCCUCUCCGAGCCUGGAAGGAGCCAAGGUGGGAACUAGGAACCCCUAGAUGGUCCUCCAGGCAGGCCCUUUCCCGUCUGGGGCCUCUUCCUCGGAUCCCAGGCCUUAGAUCAUAGCACACACAGAAUAUGUGGCUGGGAGGAAGUGUGGAGGGAUUUUGUUUCCUGGAUUGGAAUGAGAAGGUCUCUAGAGUAUGAGGACUCCAAGGAUCUCAUCCACAGGCGAAAAGAAGACUGUCUUCCUUUUUUUUAUCAACAAAGCAAAAAAUUCCCCACACCCUAUCUCCC